rnacentral:rRNA from 1 species
AGUGAACGCUGGCGGUUGGCCUAACACAUGCAAGUCGAACGAGUGGCGGACGGGUGAGGAAUACAUCGGAAUCUACUCUGUCGUUGGGGAUAACUUAGGGAAACUUACGCUAAUACCACAUUCGAUUGAAUGAGCCGCUGUCGCAUUAGCUAGUUGGCGGGGUAAAGGCCCACCAAGGCGACGAUCCGUUGCUGGUCUGAGGGGAUGAUCAGCCACACUGGAACUGAGACACGGUCAAGACUCCUACGGGAGGCAGCAGUGGGGAAGAUUGGACAAUGGGCGCAAGCCUGAUCCAGCCAUACCGCGUGGGUGAAGAAGGCCUUCGGGUUGUAAAGCCCUUUUGUUGAGAAAGCGGUACCCAAAGAAUAAGCACCGGCUAACUUCGUGCCAGCAGCCGCGGUAAUUC